AAUGAACGCUGGCGGCAUGCCUAACACAUGCAAGUCGAACGAAUGGCGGACGGGUGAGCAAUGUAUGGGAAACUGGCCGAUGGAGGGGGAUAACUACUGGAAACGGUAGCUAAUACCGCAUACCAUCGGAUGUGCUCAGGUGGGAUGAGCUAGCAGGUGGGGUAACGUCUCACCUAGGCGAAGAUCCCUAGCUGGUCUGAGAGGAUGACCAGCCACACUGGGACUGAGACACGGUCCAGACUCCUACGGGAGGCAGCAGUGGGGAAUCUUGCACAAUGGGCGAAAGCCUGAUCGAGCAAUGCCGCGUGAGUGAAGAAGGCCUUCGGAUCGUAAAGUUCUUUUGUCGGGGAGGCGGUACCCGCCGAGGAAGCCACGGCUAACUACGUGCCAGCAGCCGCGGUAAUAC
rnacentral:rRNA from 1 species